rnacentral:rRNA from 1 species
AUUGAACGCUGGCGGCAGGCUUAACACAUGCAAGUCGAGCGGAAACGAUGUAGCUUGCUACAGGCGUCGAGCGGCGGACGGGUGAGUAACGCGUAGGAAUCUGCCUAGUAGUGGGGGACAACAUGUGGAAACGCAUGCUAAUACCGCAUACGCCCUACGGGGGAAAGGAGGGGAUCUUCGGACCUUUCGCUAUUAGAUGAGCCUGCGUAAGAUUAGCUAGUUGGUAGGGUAAAGGCCUACCAAGGCGACGAUCUUUAACUGGUCUGAGAGGAUGGCCAGUCACACUGGGACUGAGACACGGCCCAGACUCCUACGGGAGGCAGCAGUGGGGAAUAUUGGACAAUGGGCGCAAGCCUGAUCCAGCCAUGCCGCGUGUGUGAAGAAGGCCUUAGGGUUGUAAAGCACUUUCAGGGGUGAGGAAGGGUGUUUGGUUAAUAUCCAAACAUUUUGACGUUAGCUCCAGAAGAAGCACCGGCUAACUCUGUG